GACUGUGCAAAGGUAGCAUAAUCAGUUGGCUUAUAAUUGAGGUCUGGGAUGAAUGAACCUACGGGGUUCUACUGUCUUUAUGAUAAUAAGGUGAAUUUAGUGAUCAAGUGCAAAUACCUGAUAGUAUUGAAUAGACGAGAAGACCCUAGAAACUUUUAAAUAUGUUUUGCUGGGGCGGCAAAGUUGCACUUAACCAACUUAUUUAACAAGCAGCACGGCUGUAAGACCAAGUUACUCUAGGGAUAACAGCAUAAUUAAAUUUAGUUU
rnacentral:rRNA from 1 species